rnacentral:lncRNA from 1 species
GGGUGUAAAUCAGGCAAAUGCCUAGAUUUUUGGAAUAAAAAAUGAUGCUAGUAGAUAAAUGUUUGGAAUUAUUUUGACUGCAGCCAGCAAAUAUAUCUCAUCACUAUGGUUGCAAAAACAAACACCCACCAAAGAACCGUAUCCGACACAGGGAAAAUAAUUAAGGGAAAUGGAACAAUUUGCAGCUUGUAUUAAAUUCUUUGCAUUCCCUCACACAAAUCAGUAGUCAGAGGGGUGAACUGUGACCUCCAUGUGAAUAUUCUAUUUGAGCUCUUGCCAUUCUGACAGUAGCAAAUAGGGAAAACACUACUUUAAAUAGAAAAGAACUUGAGAUGUAUCCUCCUACUUUGAACCAUUUUCCAUCCCACAUUUUGAUAGUCAAUGUGAAUUCAAGAGUAUAGUUUUGCUUUUGAGUCCAAAUUGGAAAUAAUUUGGGUUUUUUUUACCUCUGGUUUAGAUGUAGUUAAAGACAGCAGAACCAGCAGUGCCUUACUGUUAGGAGUUCUGCCAACUAUGGGAUCAAUCCAUAGUUAAGCAACCAAUGCAAUUCUGAACCACUAACAAAAAUAAUUUCCUAUAAAAUAUAUUAAUAUGUUUUAAACCCUAAGUAUUUCAAUUAAAAAGAAAAAAAAAAGCAACAACAAAAGGAAGAAAACAAAGGCUUGUAUAUCCAUGGUUAGAUAGCCAUAAAGGAAUAUAAAUUCAUCAGAGAAUUUUGGUACUUGAGGCACAGCUCACAUUGGAAUGUCAGCUAAAUCAUCAGCAUUUAGAACCAGCCUGAACAUGACAUUUAUGCUGUGUUUUUAUGAGCAGGGCUGGUUGUAAGUAGCAAUAAAGUAUUGUCUCUUCCAGCACCUAUGGUGACACUUCUUCGCAGGGCAUUCUUGGAGAGAGGAGGAGCCAGAGGAAGACACACUGCAGCUAUCCCAGAAUAAGGUUGUGCAGCCUUCUGAAGUUACACUUGAAAAUGUCAUUCCCACCAUCUAGAUGCACUUGGUCUGAAGAACUUGCUGCAACAUCUGUAUUUUUGCUAAAGAAAGCUGUGUGAAGAUUCUAAGCUUGUCAACUGAAUUUUUUAACAUUAAUUUUUGUUGGCAUGACACCCUAGCAGCAGUUAUAUUCAGUUAACAAGUAGCUCCUAAAAUAUGAGUGUUUUUGUGUGUAUGUGAUUAAAUAAAUAAACUCAUGAAUGAUCA